GAUGAACGCUGGCGGCGUGCCUAAUACAUGCAAGUCGAGCGAACAGAUGAGGAGCUUGCUCCUCUGACGUUAGCGGCGGACGGGUGAGUAACACGUGGAUAACCUACCUAUAAGACUGGGAUAACUUCGGGAAACCGGAGCUAAUACCGGAUAAUAUAUUGAACCACAUGGUUCAAUAGUGAAAGACGGUUUUGCUGUCACUUAUAGAUGGAUCCGCGCCGCAUUAGCUAGUUGGUAAGGUAACGGCUUACCAAGGCAACGAUGCGUAGCCGACCUGAGAGGGUGAUCGGCCACACUGGAACUGAGACACGGUCCAGACUCCUACGGGAGGCAGCAGUAGGGAAUCUUCCGCAAUGGGCGAAAGCCUGACGGAGCAACGCCGCGUGAGUGAUGAAGGUCUUCGGAUCGUAAAACUCUGUUAUUAGGGAAGAACGAAUGUGUAAGUAACUAUGCACGUCUUGACGGUACCUAAUCAGAAAGCCACGGCUAACUACGUG
rnacentral:rRNA from 1 species